AUGCUCGCUUUGGCAGCACAUGUACUAAAAUUAGAACAAAACAGAGAUUAGCAUGGCCCCUGCAUAAGGGCAAUAUGCAAAUUCGUGAUGCAUUCCAUAGUAAAUUUUU